rnacentral:other from 1 species
UACAUCCUGCUGAGCACGUUACGGCUUAUCUAUUGUUUUGAACCAAUGGCUGUUUCACGGGAGUUCUAAUCGAGGCGAGGCUGACACGCCCUUUACGGAAGGGAUCUCAAAUACGCUUCUGCGGACACCCACCUGCGAGAGCGGGUUCAGAAACAAACAAGUCGGACGGCUUCGGCGGGAUCAAC